AUUGAACGCUGGCGGCAGGCCUAACACAUGCAAGUCGAGCGGAGCGGCGGACGGGUGAGUAAUGCCUAGGAAUCUGCCUGGUAGUGGGGGAUAACGUCCGGAAACGGGCGCUAAUACCGCAUACUAUCAGAUGAGCCUAGGUCGGAUUAGCUAGGUGGUGGGGUAAAGGCCUACCAAGGCGACGAUCCGUAACUGGUCUGAGAGGAUGAUCAGUCACACUGGGACGGAGAAAAGGGUCAGACUCCCACGGGAGGGAGGAGGGGGGAAUAUUUCACAAGGGGCGCAAGGCUGAUUGAGCCAAGCCGCGGGGAUGAAGAAGGCCUUCGGGUUGUAAAGUACUUUCAGCGGGGAGGCGUUACCCGCAGAAGAAGCACCGGCUAACUCCGUGCCAGCAGCCGCGGUAAUAC
rnacentral:rRNA from 1 species